rnacentral:rRNA from 1 species
GACGAACGCUGGCGGCGUGCUUAACACAUGCAAGUCGAGCGGUAAGGCCCUUUCGGGGGUACACGAGCGGCGAACGGGUGAGUAACACGUGGGUGACCUGCCCUCAGCUCUGGGAUAAGCCUGGGAAACCGGGUCUAAUACUGGAUAUGACUCCAUGACGCAUGUCGUGGGGUGGAAAGCCUUGUGCGGCUGAGGAUGGGCCCGCGGCCUAUCAGCUUGUUGGUGGGGUGANGGCCUACCAAGGCGACGACGGGUAGCCGGCCUAAGAGGGCGACCGGCCACACUGGGACUGAGACACGGCCCAGACUCCUACGGGAGGCAGCAGUGGGGAAUCUUGCGCAAUGGGCGAAAGCCUGACGCAGCGACGCCGCGUGAGGGAUGACGGCCUGGUU